rnacentral:lncRNA from 1 species
UCACUUUGCCCAAUACUGAGAAGUUGAUCUAGCUGAUCCGUCCCAUUAUUCAGCAUCCUCAAACCCUUCUGAGUCUCUGCAAGUUGAGAAACAGCCUGUCGUGCUUCUUCUUCUUUCUCUGAAGCAUACUUAAUUGCUUCAACUUAAUGUAAAUCUUCCAAUAAACAUAUUGCUACUUCUCCAAGCUUAACAAGCCCACGAACAUCACAACAUGC